rnacentral:misc_RNA from 1 species
ACUAAAUCUUAAUCUCAAACUAGUAGGAGUCAACCAUAUGAAUCUUUUUUGCCAUUCAGCUAAGUUGAACAUCAGGUUUGCAACAAUAUCUAAAAUUUGCAAAUCUUUUUAUACUACUUUCCUCCAUGUCAUCCUAGGCCUCCCUCUUCCCCUUCUCCCUCUUUCCCCUACUGACUUAUAACACUUCCGUCCUGGGACAUUUAAUUCUCUGCCAUUAUCACAUUUUCAUAAGAAAAAUGGGGAAAGAAAAACAAUUGUCAAAAGUAGGCCAUUCUCCCUGGGAGUAAGAGAUUUGCAAGGGGAAUAUGAGGCCCAGUCGCAAUAAUUGAAGCUUGGUACCCACUUCCCAACCAAACCAAAAGAACUCUUGGGGCUAUUUGACUAAAUUUUAAACGCUACGAGAAGUCCGUAUUGCAUAGAAGAGCAUAUUGAUGAUGCACUAACCAAAGAUCCAUCUCAAAUUUGUAAUUCCAUUCAACUGCAUUUCUCUUUUAGGAUCCUUACCCAUGGGGUCGGAAGGGAAGAGCACUGUUGGAUAAACAGUUUUCUUCCAUUCACUAAUAAGACCUCUAUCACAUGUUUGUUCACCAUUGAAGGCCCCAUGACUUUACAAUCUCAAGUCUUCCAAACAUACAGGCCAUCAACUGUAUUAACAUAGCAGUAAAAUUGGCAGCCAGCUCUUUUGUUACAAUGACAUUCUUAAAUUAUAAUAUAAAUGUAUGGAAAAAUAAUGAUGAUGAUAAUAUAACCAAUAUAAUUCAAGUGGGGAAAGAGGGGUGCAUAUAUUGCAUAGGGGUGCAUAUAUUGCAUACCAUAAAUUCUUUCAACUUUGUUUCAUGAAGAUUACACCCCAAUGCAACAUCCUCAUGAAGAAUUUUUGCUCCACAUCCUGGCGCAUCAACUGAUCCAACAGCCUCUUCAUCAACCAAAACUGUGCUAACAAAACUGUUUCCUGUCUUCUUGUCUGGAAUCUCAUACAUUGCUUCAGUGAGAAUAUUUUCUAAGAUAGCUCUCAAACCUCGGGCACCAGUGUUCUUCGCCAUUGCUUUCUUUGCAAUCAAUCUCAAUGCAUCAUUAGUGAAAACUAGUUUGACAUUAUUCAUAUUGAACAUCUUUCUGUAUUGUUUACCAAGAGCAUUUUUUGGCUCCAUUAGGACCUGAACCAGCUGGUCCUCAUUCAACGCCGACAAGCUCACUAAUAUGGGGAACCGUCCAACAAAUUCAGGAAUCAGGCCAUAUGCAACUAGGUCACCACUUUCUACAGAUUCCAAUAAUGAUGAUGUCACCACAGAAUCAGUCAUUCCACCAGUUCUCAUGUUUGCACGAACUGGUGCUCCAAAGCCUAUAGAAGCAUCUUGUCGUCUUUCUGAAAUGGUUUUCUCCAAAUCAACAAAUGCUCCACCACAUAUGAAAAGGAUGUCUUUUGUGUCUAUCUGAAUUAUAUCGCCAUGAGAAUGCUUCCGAGGUCCUUUAUCAGGAAAAGGAACAUUUACAAUUGUUCCUUCCAGCAUUUUCAGUAAUGCCUGUUGAACACCCUCUCCAGAUACAUCUCUGCCAAUAUUGGAACUCUCUGCCUUUUUAGUUAUUUUGUCGACUUCAUCAAUGUAAACAAUCCCUUUCUGUGCUGCUUCCACGUUGAAUUCAGAUGCCGCAAGCAGCUUGUACAAAAUUGACUCCACAUCUUCCCCAACAUAACCUGCCUGUGUUAGUGUUGUUGCAUCAGCAAUCACAAACGGUACAUUCACAAUGCGAGCCAGUGAUUUUGCAAGUAAAGUCUUCCCUAUCCUGAGCCAGUAGGGCCCAUCAAUAAUACAUUGCUCUUGUCUAACUCGACAAACUCAUUGUCAUCAUUUUGAAUAUCAUUAAAACCCAAGUGCACUCCUGACGUAGUACCAGAUUCUUUCUGCCUGGAAGCAUGAUAGAUCCUUUUGUAGUGGUUGUAGACUGCCACAGAAAGCACCUUUUUUGCUUUAUCCUGCCCAAUCACAAACUCAUCUAGCCCUUUACAAAUCUCCUUAGGCGUUGGCAAUUCUUUCUCCAACCUCAUAUCAUCAGAAACCUCCUCCACCUUUUCACUUCUAUCACAAUCUUUCUCAACAAUGCUUUUGGUAUCCUUACAACUACUAUUACCACUACUACUAUUGUCAAACCCUUUAACCCUACCAAGCUCAAUGAAGCUACCCUGCAACGGCUCCAGCUUAAACGGCCUGAAAUAGAAUGCCGUUUUGCAAUUAGGGCAAAAAUUGACCGCUUGAUAAAUGCCAGUUUCUCUGCCGGUGAUAGACAGCGGCCGAUUCGAGAACAGUACCGGCAUUUGAGAGGAGCAUCGAGGGCAAUUCACGUUAGCCCUAAUGUGGUCGUAAUCUGUGGUGGUUCCAUCACUUAGGUGGCGAACAAAACCAACCCCUACAUUCACGGUUUUUCUCGGGAGUGACGAAAAGGGUGGUUUCGGGGAGGUGAGGAUGGAGGGAGUGAAAAUUAUGGUAGUGAAGUGUUUGGUUGUGGCCGUGAUCAGCACGGGCUUGGUGCGUUUGAUAAGUGAAAGCAUGUUUUCUGGUUUCCGUCUUCUCGCUGCGGCUAGUGGUGUCGUUUCCGCGAAUCGGAAACCGUUGAGCGGUGAAAGGUGAGUGAAG